CUUGCACACUGUUAGAGCUUGGAGAUGAGGUUAGUCACUGGCCAAUGAACUCCAGGUGUAGAAAGUGUGCUACAUUAACAUGGCAGGUUUUUCGCUAACACCACAAGGUGCCUUUUGGCUCCUGUGACUGGAGUUUGAUAGUACUUCUUGCCACAUGA